GUAGGUGGCAAGCGUUGUCCGGAAUUAUUGGGCGUAAAGCGCGCGCAGGCGGUCCUUUAAGUCUGAUGUGAAAGCCCACGGCUCAACCGUGGAGGGUCAUUGGAAACUGGGGGACUUGAGUACAGAAGAGGAAAGCGGAAUUCCAAGUGUAGCGGUGAAAUGCGUAGAGAUUUGGAGGAACACCAGUGGCGAAGGCGGCUUUCUGGUCUGUAACUGACGCUGAGGCGCGAAAGCGUGGGGAGCAAACAGGAUUAGAUACCCUGGUAGUCCACGCCGUAAACGAUGAGUGCUAAGUGUUAGGGGGUCUCCCGCCCCUUAGUGCUGCAGCUAACGCAUUAAGCACUCCGCCUGGGGAGUACGGCCGCAAGGCUG
rnacentral:rRNA from 1 species